rnacentral:lncRNA from 1 species
CUGCUGUUAUAAAUCAUAUUCUAUUUUUGCCUCCUCUGCAGGCAACUCUGUAUUGUUUUGUAUAACAGGUUUUCAACUCUUAUUUGUUUUGUAUUGUAAAUGCAUUUUGUAAAUGAUCAAACUUUGGUCGAGCUUCAAGCAAAAUAGUGUUAGGCCUGGGGAGAGCAAAACAUGGGAGGAAAAAAUCCCAAAUAUAAAACCUAUUAUACAAAACAAUACAGAGUUGCCUAAUUCUACUUAAAGAGGCUAAUUCUACUUAAAUAUUAACCCAGAACUCUCCCCUUGACAAGUAAAAUCAUCUGGCAUUGGACAGAAAAUAAUAAAGUAGGGUGCAAUGUGACUCAAUGGGUUAACUAGACACAUCAUGGGCAGAUAGACGAGUUAACCCACUAAAUGCCAGCACUCUCCCCUUGACGAGUAAAAUUGUAUAGCAUUAGACAGAGUAAAAUAAUCUUGCGUUAGACAGAGUAAAAUAAUAAAGAAUGUUAGGGUUUGUAAUCCAAGUGAUUAUAUACAUUUUAAGACCUGACCAGGAACGACUGCGAAAAAUGCAGCACAAGGUUCUCUGGUAGGAAUUGAACCUACGGCCCUGCGAUUCCGGUGCUGCGCUCUAACCAACUGAGCUACAGAGGCCAGCUGUUGAGCUGUAACCGUAAGUUCAUGUAAAUAUAGGUAAUCAGGUGUGCGGGUUGUGAUAAGGUGAACUUGGAUGAUGUGGUUUCUUUGCACUUCACUUGGUGGAAUUAAUAUUAGAAUGUUAGGGUUUGUAAUCCAAGUGAUUAUAUACAUUUUAAGACCUGACCAGGAACGACUGCGAAAAAUGCAGCACAAGGUCCUCUGGUAGGAAUUGAACCUACGGCCCUGCGAUUAAAAUAAUAAAAUAGGGCGCAUCAGUGCACAAUGCGACUCAAUGGGUUAGAGAUGAACAGACGGUUAAGUCUGUUAUGCACAUAUGUACCUUCUGAUGUAAACAAUUGGUAACAUCAAGGUGUUAUACAAGGGUUAUACAUGGUGGUCAACAUUACAUGUAUCAAUACUAAUGACUUGGGAAGCGAGCAAAUGAGGCUAAAUUGCAUGUAUUCACCAGCAAACAUGAGGUCAAGACAUAUAGUGAACAAUUUACUCACACCGGUAACUGUGUUUCCUUUUAGAGUUGACCACCAUGUGCCGAGAUGUUGCAUCACAACACAUGAAAGUAAAGAAUACCCAACUUUCACAUUGUUUCAGCAUCUCAUUCAGAAACUCUAAUCAAAAUUCAUUUAAAGAACAGCAACCUGAACGAUGUGAAAUAUGAACUAUGUACAUCAUAUUUUUUUUAAUAUAGCGUGUUUGAAAUGUAAAAAACCAACAUCCCUCACAUUUUAUGCUUUUUAUCACUAUUAUAAACAGGGUGCCAUAUACUGCUAUAGUUUCAAAUAGUGAAAUCUUGACUGAUUUCUGCCUAAGUAUUUCACAAAAUAUUAAAUACAACGAUAUCCAGCUGCGCAUAAGUUAUUAUACCAUUUACACUUCUUCUAAAUCCUUUAGACAUGGCUCACAUGAGUAUUAAUUUCUCGGUAAUUUCGGAAUUUCAAUUUUCCACUCGACCACUCCUACGAUGAAUAACAGUGCCAUAUAAAUCGGUAGAUAAUCUUCAAAGGUUUCUCAUACCAACACAUCUUUCAAGGACGAAUUAUAUAAACAUGUUAAUAACAACUUUAGUAAAGGAAAACUGUUAUGAGCAAAAUAACAAGUGUUUCUCGUGCCGAUUAUUUUCUGAAACACUCGGGCGCCAUCUUGAAAUUUGAGUUCGGGGGGGUGAAUGCCUCUCUUUCGCGCACUGGCUAAGCUUUUGGCGGCCGGUUACACUUUUUUGGCUGAG